rnacentral:rRNA from 1 species
UACGUAGGGGGCAAGCGUUGUCCGGAAUCAUUGGGCGUAAAGAGCGUGUAGGCGGCCCGGUAAGUCCGCUGUGAAAGUCGGGGGCUCAACCCUCGAAAGCCGGUGGAUACUGUCGGGCUAGAGUACGGAAGAGGCGAGUGGAAUUCCUGGUGUAGCGGUGAAAUGCGCAGAUAUCAGGAGGAACACCAAUUGCGAAGGCAGCUCGCUGGGACGUUACUGACGCUGAGACGCGAAAGCGUGGGGAGCAAACAGG